CUCUUGUGCCCCUUCUCCCUACUUUCGGUCCCUUUGUGCGAGAUCCCAUUACCUUCCCCUUUGUCAGCACCGGAGGUUUGGCACUAGUUCGAACCUUCCCUGCCGCCACCUCCCUGCCUCGCCACCGCCUCUGUACGCGGUUGCUCUGUGUGACCUGUGGCUGCUUCCUCUUGAGGCCUUAGUGCGAUUCUUGGUUCUUUUUAGUGGUGCUACUUUGUGUGGUUUUUGGUCACAAAUCUGAGCCCUCUAUACUUACUUUUGGUGUCAAUCUUUGUGAAAUCGAUAGGGAAGUGUUUGGUUUCGUUCAUAUCAUAUUAUACCAUUGUUAUUAAUUGAUUUGGAACUAACUCAGUGUUGUUUGAUCAAUUGAAGGUCUUAUUUAACUCCAUAUGGUUUCUUCAAGUCGAGCCAAUUCAAGCGACUACUCUCAUCAAUGGUGGCCUUUUGGCCUCUCUCUGCCGUGUCUUCAAAAUUCUGGUUACAUAGUGACAUCGAUCCAACCAGCCAAGCCUUUUUCCCAAUCACAUUCCUGGGCUGGUUCUAAAGCAUAGAAACUACUAACAUGGGGUGGUUCUAAAGCAGCAAUUACCAUUGAAGUAAUUCUAUGAACCCCAAUUGCAUAAAUUAAAUCCGCCACCUAACGGUGGAAGGUGUCAGUGACAAUACAGCCGCGACUGCCGGAUUAGGAGAAUUGAGGUGUCAGUCAUCAUGGCCUCCCCCAACAAAUGGGAAGAAAAAUAUUUCAACCUUGUGGCUUUCCACUUCCAGAGAUGCUUUGGUGGCAGGGGUGGCAAUGGAGGGCGGUCAGAGUGUUGGAGAGCAAGAUGGAUGCAGUAGUGAGCAAUUGAGAACGAAUGUUCAGAUUUACUGCUAAUUAGGAACAUAAUAUAAAUGCAAUUUGUAACCUUAUCAUCAGUUAGUCAAUGGAUGAACUCAUC
rnacentral:lncRNA from 1 species